GAGGGAAUAGCUCAAGUGGUAGAGCACAUGAUCAGCAUGCAUGAGGUCUUGGGUUCAAUUCCCAGUAUCUCCA
rnacentral:tRNA from 1 species